AACUUUGGUGUUUGCAGUUGUUUGUGAGGGUGAACGACCAACGCACGUACCUCCAGAAUGAGCUGCUGAUAUGCCAGAACAACAUCUUGCGUUUGCAGAAGAACGGACCUUAUUGGCAGAACGUUCCGCGAAAGAACGACGAGCGAGUGCUGGACCCAAAGCGAGGACCUAUAAAGAAGAUGUUUUCUGAGCGUCUCCCGCCCAUUCCCACGCAAUGACGUCGUCUGCCGUAACAUCGACGUUUAGUUCACUUUGAUUUAUAUUAGGCGUAGGCGGUAGUGUUGGUUGUAGCCGAUCGGUCUGUGUUCAACUUAUUAUAUCCCAUCGUAAUUUGGAAAGACACUUUAUCAGCCAACGUAAGUUAGAAUAUUCAUAAUACAUGGUCAAGGAGCGUGGACAUUUCUGUGUCCAUCAAUGUGAAUAAUAAAGGAUAUUAUAUUAUUUCUCCCUCUUGUGAUAA